rnacentral:rRNA from 1 species
UACGAAGGGGGCUAGCGUUGCUCGGAAUCACUGGGCGUAAAGGGUGCGUAGGCGGGUCUUUUAAGUCAGGGGUGAAAUCCUGGAGCUCAACUCCAGAACUGCCUUUGAUACUGAAGAUCUUGAGUUCGGGAGAGGUGAGUGGAACUGCGAGUGUAGAGGUGAAAUUCGUAGAUAUUCGCAAGAACACCAGUGGCGAAGGCGGCUCACUGGCCCGAUACUGACGCUGAUGCACGAAAAGCGUGGGGAGCAAACAGG